AUUGAACGCUGGCGGCAGGCCUAACACAUGCAAGUCGAGCGGAUGAAGGGAGCUUGCUCCUGGAUUCAGCGGCGGACGGGUGAGUAAUGCCUAGGAAUCUGCCUGGUAGUGGGGGAUAACGUCCGGAAACGGGCGCUAAUACCGCAUACGUCCUGAGGGAGAAAGUGGGGGAUCUUCGGACCUCACGCUAUCAGAUGAGCCUAGGUCGGAUUAGCUAGUUGGUGGGGUAAAGGCCUACCAAGGCGACGAUCCGUAACUGGUCUGAGAGGAUGAUCAGUCACACUGGAACUGAGACACGGUCCAGGCUCCUACGGGAGGCAGCAGUGGGGAAUAUUGGACAAUGGGCGAAAGCCUGAUCCAGCCAUGCCGCGUGUGUGAAGAAGGUCUUCGGAUUGUAAAGCACUUUAGGUUGGGAGGAAAGGCAGUAAGUUAAUACCUUGCUGUUUUGACGUUACCAACAGAAUAAGCACCGGCUAACUUCGUG
rnacentral:rRNA from 1 species